AUGAAGAGAAAACGAAAAACUAUGAGAGUGUAGAAAUACAUUUAGCAAUAGUAUCUUUCAAUAGAAGAAGUAAAUAUGUUAGGACCCGAAAGAUGGUGAACUAUACUUGAACGGAUUGAAGCCGAAGGAAACUUUGGUGGAAGAUUCACGCAGUGUUAACGUGCAAAUUACUUGUCAUAUUUGAGUAUAGGGGCGAAAGACUCAUCGAACUAUCUAGUAGCUGGUUCCACCUGAAUAUUCCCUUAGGAAGGUCAAAGUAUUAAUAGUAUUGAUUGGUAAAGAUAAUGAUUAGGUGUAAUGGGUGAGUAUUUUCACUCAACAUCUUGUCAAACUAUGAAUAAACAAAGAAGAAUUCUCAGUGUUAAAUACACUUCAGGAAUUUAAAUAUAAACAUACUUUGAAUCGGCCAAGUCUGGUAAGCAGGACUGGCGAUGCGGGAUGAACCGAACGUCGAGAUAAAGUGCCAAAAAGAAACAUAACGAGUACCACAAAAGGUAUUCAUUCAUAUUGACAAUAGGACGGUGGCCAUGGAAGUCGGAAACCGCUAAGGAAUGUGUAACAACUCACCUAUCGAAUGAAUGAGUCCUGAAAAUGGAUGGCAUUAUAAUUUCUUAACUGAUACUCGACCGUUAAAAUGAAGACAUUUUAACGAGUAAGGAAACGAAAUGGCGUAAGGACAACAAAAGUAGUAAAGAUUUAAAGUAAUUUAGAUUGAAACUGUCCUUAGUGCAGAUCUUGGUGGUAGUAGCAAAUACUAAGAAGAGGAAAAAAACAUCUUAUAACUGAAGAGGAGAAAGGUUCCUAAACAACAUUACUUGGAUUAGGGUGAAUCGAUCCUAAAUUACAGAUGGAAAUCCUUAAGAAAUAUAUAAGUGACAUAUAGUCAAUAUAAGGAUUGAAAGGGAAUAAGAUUAAUAGUUCUUAAUCAAGAGAAUUAAUGAUUAAAUCUUAGAAAUAAGAUUAAAUCGAAUAAAAUGGUAACAUAUCAUGAACUUUAAAAUGGAGUGUGAAAAUCUACGGAAGAGUUCUCUUUUCUUCUUAACAAAAGUAAACUCCACUGAAAUGAAUCAAUCAGAGAAGUGGAAUUUAUUGGCUUUGUAAGAAAUUCAACAUAUGAUUGAAUUGUGGUAUUUUUGCAGUCUUCAUAAAAAUUAAAGGGAAUCUUAGCAUAAAGCUAAUUAAAGAAUUCUUUUGCUCGUACUAAUAACCGCAACAGGUCUCCAAGAAGCAAAAUCUUUAGUUAAAUAGAAUAACGCAGGUAAGGGAAGUCGGCAACAUAGCUCUGUAAGUUAGCAAGAAAGAGUAGCUCUGGUGAUUUCCUUGUAAAAGGAUUAAAAUCGAAUCAGAACUUUAAAGGUUAGGGGAAUCCGACUGUUUAAUAAAAACAUAGCAUUCUGAUAAAUCUAAAAGGUUCAUUACAGAAUGUGAUUUCUGCCCAGUGCUCUGAAUGUCAAGGUAAUGAAAUUUACUUAAGCGCGGGUUAACGGCGGGAGUAACUAUGACUCUCUUAAGGUAGCCAAAUGCCUCGUCAUCUAAUUAGUGACGCGCAUGAAUGGAUCACCGUGAUUCCCACUGUCCCUAUCUGCAAUCUAGUGAAACCACAGUCAAGGGAACGGGCUUGAUUGGAACGGCGGGGAAAGAAGACCCUGUUGAGCUUGACUCUAAUUUAUCAUGUGAAAUCGAUUUUUUGGUAUAGGCUAGGUGGGAGACUUUGUCAAACGUGUAAUACCACCACUAGAAAUACUAUUUCACUCAUUUCGUUAAAUGUUAAAAUGGAUUUUCCAUUAAUUUAAAAACAUUAAAACUUCGGUUGAAACAGGCGAUUGAAAAAGAUAGACGGGGAGUUUGGCUGGGGCGGCACAUCUGUUACAAGAUAACGCAGGUGUCCAAAGAUGAACUCAAUGAGGACAGAAACCUCAUGUAGAAUAUAAGGGUAUAAGUUCAUUUGAUUAUUGAUUCCAGUACAAUCAAUAACUCUGAAAUGAUGGCCUAACGAUCCCUAAGAUUUUUAACUAGAAAAAAUUUAAAACAUAUUAGAUUUAUCUGAUGUGUGAGACCGUAAGGUGAUUUCUAGUUAAUCCUUUAAUAAUAAGGCUUGGGGUGUCAGAAAAGUUACCACAGGGAUAACUGGCUUGUGGCAGCCAAGCGCUCAUAGCGACGUUGCUUUUUGAUCCUUCGAUGUCGGCUCUUCCUAUCCAUUUCAAGCAGAAUUGAAAAAAGGUAUGAUUGUUCACCAUUUAAUAGGGAACGUGAGCUGGGUUUAGACCGUCGUGAGACAGGUUAGUUUUACCCUACCGUUUCGGUAGAUCUUCAAAGUAUUUAGAUAGUAGCACAACUCAGUACGAGAGGAACCGUUGUGUCACGCCACUGGAUUAUUCAAUUAUUUGAUCAAAUAGUGUUGAGAAUCUAACACGUGUUGAAAUAAUGGCUGAAAGCCUCUCAAGCCAG
rnacentral:rRNA from 1 species